UAAUGAGUCUGUGUUCAGGGGAAUCACAACGGUCAGUUUUCUCCUAGUUGUCUUCAUCUUUUUACAGUCUGCGAUCAUCGCCAUCGCCCACCUGCACGAGACACAAUUACAGAGUGAAUUGGAGGAGUUACUACAAAUUGUAGCAGCAAAUCAAGAAAACUACCAACUUUGGACCUAUUACAACUAUCGGCCGUUGUCUUCUGGAUAACAACAAUACCGAAGUUAAACUUACCUGCGAAUCUC